UACGUAGGGGGCGAGCGUUGUCCGGAUUUACUGGGCGUAAAGAGCGCGUAGGCGGCCUUUUAAGUUGGCUGUGAAAUCUCCUGGCUCAACUGGGAGCAGUCGGCCGAUACUGGGGGGCUUGAGGGCGGUAGAGGAAGGUGGAAUUCCGGGUGUAGUGGUGAAAUGCGUAGAGAUCCGGAGGAACACCGGUGGCGAAGGCGGCCUUCUGGGCCGUACCUGACGCUGAGGCGCGAAAGCGUGGGGAGCGAACUGAAUUAGAUACUCAGGUAGUCCACGCCCUAAACGAUGGACGCUAGGUGUUGGGGGUAUCGACCCCUCCGGUGCCGAAGCUAACGCAUUAAGCGUCCCGCCUGGGGAGUACGGCCGCAAGGCUAAA
rnacentral:rRNA from 1 species